AGAAAUUUGGAUUAAUACCUCAUAGUAUAGCAGUUUCGCAUGAAACCACUAUUAAAGUCACACGGUAAAAGAUGAGCAUGCGUCCUAUUAGCUAGAUGGUAAGGUAACGGCUUACCAUGGCUACGAUAGGUAGGGGUCCUGAGAGGGAGAUCCCCCACACUGGUACUGAGACACGGACCAGACUCCUACGGGAGGCAGCAGUGAGGAAUAUUGGACAAUGGGCGAAAGCCUGAUCCAGCCAUGCCGCGUGUGUGAAGAAGGUCUUCGGAUUGUAAAGCACUUUAAGUUGGGAGGAAGGGCAGUUACCUAAUACGUAUCUGUUUUGACGUUACCGACAGAAUAAGCACCGGCUAACUCUGUG
rnacentral:rRNA from 1 species